rnacentral:sRNA from 1 species
AUUCCCUUAGUAAUGGCGAACGAACAGGGAUCAGCUUGGGUUGGAAACCGGGGCUUCUGCCUUGGAUUGUGGCCUUUAGACAUACUACCAACGGCGGCGCGAGCGUAAGCCUCUUGGAACAGAGCGUCUACGUGGGUGAGAAUCCUGUAUUUCGCUUGAUGCCCGCCGUGCACGGUACUUGCUCUCAGAGUCACGCUCCUCGGAAUUGGAGCGUAAAUUGGGUGGUAAAUUCAUCUAAAGCUAAAUACAGGCUCGAGACCGAUAGCAAACAAGUACCAUGAGGGAAAGAUGAAAAGGACUUUGAAAAGAGAGUUAAAAGUGCUUGAAAUCGCUGAACUGGAAGCGAAUGGAACUAGUGCUCUGGUUGAGAUUGCUGCAAGUGGCUGCGACAUCUGGGCUCUGGAACGCAAGUCCUUUGUCUGGUUUGAAGUAGUUGCUUGUAAUGUGUCUCAGCUUGAACAUCAGCGUCUAUGCAUACGUGAGGAUGGCCCUUAGCUCAUGCUGUGUUGCUGGGGCGAUACUCUUGUGCUUUUGGGGAUUCAGGUGUGUGUGGAUUGUUGAUCAAUUAGUUCCAUUCGACCCGUCUUGAAACACGGACCAAGGAGUCUAGCACUUGUGCAAGUUCUCAGGUGUCAAACCUCUGUGCGCAAUGAAGGUGACUGCUGGGAUUUUUUGCACCAGCAACCGACCAAUCAAUUGGGAGAAGUUUGAGUAAGAGCAUGUGUGUUAGGACCCGAAA